AUAAAGUUGGCAGAAAAUAAUGUGGAUAAUUUAGGAUUAUUUUAUAAAAGUUAUCUUUUACUUUAUA
rnacentral:tRNA from 1 species